GGUGUCCCAGUGGUGCAGCCGCUACUAAAGGUUCGUUUGUUCAACGAUUAAAACCCUACGUGAUCUGAGUUCAGACCGGAGUAAUCCAGGUCAGUUUCUAUCUAUAAAGGGCUUUUUCUAGUACGAAAGGACCGAAAAAGCACGGCCUAUGUCUUUACAAGCCGCACUCAUUAAUUUAUGAUUUAAACUUAAUAAACAAUUGACCUACAACUAAACUCUAGGCCAGAGU
rnacentral:rRNA from 1 species